rnacentral:rRNA from 1 species
UACCAGCACCCCGAGUGGUCGGGACGAUUAUUGGGCCUAAAGCAUCCGUAGCCGGUCUUGCAAGUCUUCCGUUAAAUCCACCUGCUUAACAGAUGGGCUGCGGAAGAUACUACAAGACUAGGAGGCGGGAGAGGCAAGCGGUACUCAGUGGGUAGGGGUAAAAUCCUCUGAUCCAUUGAAGACCACCAGUGGCGAAGGCGGCUUGCCAGAACGCGCUCGACGGUGAGGGAUCAAAGCUGGGGGAGCAAACCGG